rnacentral:rRNA from 1 species
GACGAACGCUGGCGGCGUGCUUAACACAUGCCAGUCGAACGGAAAGGCCCUGCUUUUGUGGGGUGCUCGAGUGGCGAACGGGUGAGUAACACGUGAGUAACCUGCCCUUGACUUUGGGAUAACUUCAGGAAACUGGGGCUAAUACCGGAUAGGAGCUCCUGCUGCAUGGUGGGGGUUGGAAAGUUUCGGCGGUUGGGGAUGGACUCGCGGCUUAUCAGCUUGUUGGUGGGGUAGUGGCUUACCAAGGCUUUGACGGGUAGCCGGCCUGAGAGGGUGACCGGCCACAUUGGGACUGAGAUACGGCCCAGACUCCUACGGGAGGCAGCAGUGGGGAAUAUAGCACAAUGGGCGGAAGCUUGAUGCAGCAACGCCGCGUGCGGGAUGACGGCCUUCGGGUUGUAAACCGCUUUCGCCUGUGACGAAGCGUGAGUGACGGUAAUGGGUAAAGAAGCACCGGCUAACUACGUG